CCGGGAGCCGCAGCGACGACGCCGGGCGCUCAGAGUUAUGCGUUCGGGGUCUCGGAGAGUUCGAGGGUCGCCCACGUUGGGGCUGCUGCUGCUACUGGGACUACCGUGGCCAGUGUGGGGGACGGAGGAGUUUCCAGGAAACACCCUUGGAGAGCCAGUCAUUCUGCACUGGAGCCUAGAUGGACAACCCCAGUGGAUGGUCACCCUGGAGGAGCCGGUCCCAAAGCUAGAAGUGAGACUGGUAGCCUUGGAGGCUGAAGGUCAGGAGCUCCUGCUAGAGCUGGAGAAGAAUCAGUGAGUACCAGGCUGGGGAAAGAGCUGGGAGGCAAGAACAGCCCCUCUCUCUGGGGAAGGAUCACUGCUGGGGGCAGGGACUGAUGGGAACCCCAGAGGGAGGCUGGAUGGGGUGAGAGCCCCAGAGGAGGAGGUGCAGGUCACAGGGAGAGUCAAUGUUAGUCUCGACAGGCUCCCUCGAGACUGAAAUUGGUUACUGAGGCUGGAUUCGCUGUAGGGCAGAGCUCUCAUCCCAGCCCCAGAAACAUCUUGUCAGCUUCCUGCCACGAAUGAGCAAGCAUCACCUGCUGGGUGAUCACAGGGUGUGCUGAGUCAAAAGAGAAUCCAAGCUGGAUUCCAAGAAUGGGCAGGUGGUCCAGAAGGUGGGAAUGCCAGGCACAAAGGUCAAGGCACAUUCGGGGGUAGCAAUUUUUCUGGCUUGCCUGGGGAGUCUCCUUCUACAGGGAAGGGAGCAAAGAGAAACAAAUUUGGGGAGUCCUAGCAGGGCCAGAUUAUAAAAGGCCAUUUUGGUGCUGAGUGUCCAGGAUAGUGCAAAGCCAAAGAUUUUGAACUGGCGAAUGAACAAGCAGAGCUGGGCUGGGUGAGGUGAGUGUCUAAGAUGGAGAGUGGGUUCUUGAAACCAUCUAGAUUGUAUUAUCGACAUCUCAUUUAUCAAGUGCUUGUUUCAUCACAGGCACUGUUCUGAGCACCCUACAUACACAUGCUUUAUUCUCCCCCAAGCAUUGAGAACAAACUCAGGUUCUGCUAUGCCUAACUAUAGUUUCUCUGGGGUUCAAUAUCCCCGUGUGUUAAAAGAGGUGAUCACAUCACCUCCUCCCUAGGUUUGAGUGUGUGGGUGGAGUUGGGGAGCAAAGUUGGAGGAGGGGGAAAGACUGGAGAGUGGAUAAGCAGGCAUCACAAGUCUUUGGGGGCAGUUUUGGGGUAAAGAGGUCAAGGUGGAGAGGGAUGAAGGAUUUUCUUCAACGAGAAAUUGACUUAUGGUUGAUCCAUCUUGGUGGGAAGGAUGCUGGUGAGGUGAAGCCUGAAGAUGAAAUCAUUACUUGAGUGGGGUCUGGAGAAAGAGAGGAGGAUCCCUGUCACAUGGGCGGGAUCUGCAGUGUGAUUUCUGUAUUCUCUGGAAGUAGCGGGUGAGCCUCAGUGAAAGACAGCUGGGGAGAUAGGUAGGAUCUGGGGGCCUGAGGAGAUUUGAAGGAACUUUGAGUGGGAGGAGGUGUCCCAGAGCAAGGGUCCCUAACCUCUCGGAUCUAAUGCCUGAUGAUCUGAGGUGGAGCUGAUGUAAUAAUAAAGUGCACCAUAAAUAUAAUGCGC
rnacentral:lncRNA from 1 species